UUUUCUCUGAUUCAGAAUGGCUAGGUUUUUCUUCCUCAGUUUCUACAUUGUUCCAUUUUUUAAUGGAACCUAAAUGUUCCGCUGCAGAGCUACUUCCAUUUCUUCGACGGGUCUGUGAUUCUUCCUGUAAGUGGCUCAUAGACUUGUCCCUCCUCAAGACCAACCCAUCACGUUGGGAAUGAGAUAAUCUAGGAUCUGCAUCAUAAGGUGGAGGUUGAGGGACAAGGUGGUAGGUCUCAGACAAUGAACUGUCAGCUGAAGUGGUUCCAAUGCCUGUUGAUGUCAAUGGAAUUACUGCUUGAACAGGGGAAGCAACUGUCUGCACCUCCAAUCUUUGAAACAUUGUGCUAUACUACAAGGGAAAUAAAAUUGAGUGAGAAAAUAGUUACUGCAAAAUGUAUGACAGAAAAGAGAGAGAAUUAAAAACAGGAUUUACAAAGAUAACCUUCAGAAUAUAGCUCUAUGGAGAACUUAUAAUCUGCUUGACAUGGAAAAUAGAUUCAUAAAGUGUGGUACUCCCAUUUACUGACAUUUACUGAUGAUG
rnacentral:lncRNA from 1 species